ACAACAGGGAUUGCCUCAGUAACGGCGAGUGAAGCGGCAACAGCUCAAAUUUGAAAUCGGGCGCCCGCCCGAGUUGUAAUUUGGAGAGGAUGCUUCUGGGCAGCGGCCGGUUCAAGUCCCUUGGAACAGGGCGUCAGAGAGGGUGAGAAUCCCGUAGGCGACCGGCUGGCACCCGUCACGUAGCUCCUUCGACGAGUCGAGUUGUUUGGGAAUGCAGCUCUAAAUGGGUGGUAAAUUCCAUCUAAAGCUAAAUACCGGCCAGAGACCGAUAGCGCACAAGUAGAGUGAUCGAAAGAUGAAAAGCACUUUGGAAAGAGAGUUAAACAGCACGUGAAAUUGUUGAAAGGGAAGCGCAUGCUACCAGACUCGACGGCGGAAGCUCCGCCGGUCUUCUGACCACGGCCGACUCGCCGCCSUCGGGCCAGCAUCGCGUGGGCGCGCCGGACAAAGGCGCGGGGAAUGUGGCCCCCCUCUGGGGGGGUGUUAUAGCCCCGCGUGCGAUGCGGCGCCGCCCGCGCGAGGUCCGCGCUUCGGCUAGGAUGCUGGCGUAAUGGUCGCAUGCGGCCCGUCUUGAAACACGGACCAAGGAGUCUAACAUCUGUGCGAGUGUUCGGGGUGUCAAACCCCUACGCGGAAUGAAAGUGAACGGAGGUGGGAGCUUCGGCGCACCAUCGACCGAUCCUGAUGUCCUCGGAUGGAUUUGAGUAAGAGCAUAGCUGUUGGGACCCGAAAGAUGGUGAACUAUGCCUGAAUAGGGUGAAGCCAGAGGAAACUCUGGUGGAGGCUCGCAGCGGUUCUGACGUGCAAAUCGAUCGUCAAAUUUGGGUAUAGGGGCGAAAGACUAUC
rnacentral:rRNA from 1 species